rnacentral:rRNA from 1 species
CCUACGGGGUGCAGCAGUGGGGAAUAUUGGACAAUGGGCGAAAGCCUGAUCCAGCCAUGCCGCGUGUGUGAAGAAGGCCUUCGGGUUGUAAAGCACUUUCAGUGGGAAAGAAAGCCUUGGGGCUAAUACCCUCGAGGAAGGACAUCACCCACAGAAGAAGCACCGGCUAACUCCGUGCCAGCAGCCGCGGUAAUACGGAGGGUGCGAGCGUUAAUCGGAAUUACUGGGCGUAAAGCGCGCGUAGGCGGUCUGAUAAGCCGGUUGUGAAAGCCCCGGGCUCAACCUGGGAACGGCAUCCGGAACUGUCAGGCUAGAGUGCAGGAGAGGAAGGUAGAAUUCCCGGUGUAGCGGUGAAAUGCGUAGAGAUCGGGAGGAAUACCAGUGGCGAAGGCGGCCUUCUGGACUGACACUGACGCUGAGGUGCGAAAGCGUGGGUAGCAAACAGGAUUAGAUACCCUAGUAGUC